GGGAAUGGGUGUGUGUGUAUGAGUGUGUCUGUGUGGGAAUGGGUGUGAGUGGGGAAUGUGAGUGUGUGUGGGAAUAUGUGUGUGUGUAUGAGUGUGUCUGUGUGUGGGAAUGGGUGUGAGUGUGUGAGAGGCUCUUUCUCAAGACUGUAGGAGUGGGGGCUUCUCCAUGGGGACACUUUCAAAGGAGGAAGAAAGAACAAAGGAAGAAGGGUGGAUUUCACUCCUUUCCUUGGAAAUGAGUCAUGACUGAACAAUGAAUUUGGGGAAAUUUUAUUGAAUUUCAUGCCACGGCCUUGGUGCAGGCACCACAUGAUCUACUACAUUCGGGGCACAUAGGUGACGCCCCCCAGCUGUGAGGGCAGGUGCCCCGAGACUGGGUGUGUGCUGGGCAUUCCUGGCAGGCGUCACGUCCCCUUUGGCGGCAGAUUGCUCCUGUGGGGCACUCUCCACCGCCUUCAUGGGCCACGGUGAAUGCCAGCCGUGACAUCGGGGCAAGCUGCCCAUCGAGGAAGCCGAGUCGGCUGUCUGCUGACCUGGCAGCCAUGCCUGCUGGUGCUUCACUCCCUGCGAGCAAGGGGCUUAGGGACUGCUCUAAAGAUUGGGGUCAGAAUCCCAGACCCCAGGACCCCCCAUCCUGGCCCGUCCUCAGGGAGAGCUGCCAACAGGGUCCCCACCCGUUCCUUCCUCUGCUUUCUUUCCACACUUGGAGCCAGCUUUCUUUUUUGUUGUUACAAAACCUGUAUUGAAGAACAACAGACUCUAAGACAGAGGUCCCUCAAUGUCAUCACCAACCCCAUCCGUGUUGGCGUCGGCCCUGUGCCUCCUGUUCCUGCCCGUGUGCAUGUUCAUUUUUACAGAUUUAUAAUGACAAGAGAGGGUAUUGUCCUCUCUUCCCUAAGUUUAUGCCACGUGGACCUUCUCAUUUUCGCUGGUGCCUUCCUUUCUCAGGAACCUCUUUCCCCCGCUCCCUUCCCCCUACCCUGCUCCAUUCCCACCCCUCCCCCGCACCCUGCACACACCUUUCAUGCCCCUGCUCCUAUGAGCAAACACAGCAUGCGUGGGGAGGGUCUUCACUACGGCUUCUCCUCCGCAGCUUGCUUAAUUGCUCCGUGGUAAUCAGGACCAUCUCCCAGUUUGGGAACCGGAUUCCUUCUGGGAGGUGGGGGAGCUGGAGGGGUAGGAGCCUCAGAGGAGCUGGAGUCCUGCUGAGACGCCCCACCCCCAUCACCAUCAUCUCUCCCCCAUCUUAUUAGCAGGUUCCUGCCCCUGCACUUGGCGGUGUCUACCCAAGCUGCCUGAGCCGGCCAUGUGAGCAGCGCCUCCAGUACCGCCACAGUGAAAGGGAGGCCGAGCAUCCUGGAGCCCAUGAACCCACACAGCCCCCAUAAGCUGCCCAACAUCUUCUGGUGGUUUCUGUUCAACCCCAGAGACUCUUGGAGUUUACCUUAACACUGUCACCUUCCCAAACUCCAUGGAGGAGGGGCUGAGCCUCUUAGCAUCUUCUGGGACGGCCCCUUCCUCAUGGGGGUGGGUGGUGAGGGCGGUGCAGGGGGAGACUAGGAGGGCUCCUGCAUCUCCUGGUCCCUCUGUGGAUAAAUACACGGCCAGUGCCCCAGGCCUGGGUCCAUAUGAACACUCUCCCUCCCCCACCACCAGGAAAAGCAGUCACAGCUACAGGUGGGCAUCCUCCCCUCCUCCCCACUGUGCUCCCAGGCACCUGCUGGCUGUGCUAUGCUCUGCAACACAGGGCUGCCGGCCAGGGUGGGGCCACAGUUAGUCUCAUUCCACCUGUGCCGUCUCUGACUCACUGCACUGUCCGAGUGGGCAGAAGGUAGGUGCCGGCUCCAGGGCCAGGGGACACUUAGCAACUGCUCAGAAUCUCCCAAAGGUGGCUUUUCCUCAAGGUACCAUCUCCUUCCUCCUUUCACCAGCUCUCCCAAAAACAGGUGUGAGAACUAGUCCCUUGAUGUGAGAGAUACUGUGAAGUUCUUGCUUUAUUUUAAACCCCAGCUUAAUCAGAUGAUUUUUCUUGUGGGCUAAGCACUUUCAUCCUUUGCCUCCUUGAGAAAAUUGUCAAAGCUGAAGGUCUCCUUGCCAAUGAAUCAAUUUCUGCCUCUAGCACCUUUUCCCUCUUUCACUUCCAUUGUGCAAAUAACCAGUUCAUGCUCUGGGUCGGUUGGCUGAGCAGACAGGCAGGUGGCACCUGCACAGGUAAGUGGUUGGGAUGAAAGUCAGGUCCUUUUUUCUCCCUCCACAACCAGAACCCCAAUUAACCUGGUACCCACAAGUUCCCGCCCUGGCUAGCGCCCUCCAACUGGGCCCAUUUUGCAUUCAAUGCGAUUCCAAAAACAAAAAAAAGUGUUUCACGUAAGCCCUUAAGAUACAACAAGAGUAGGGCAGAAUUUUAAUACUGGUUUUGCUUUAAGACGCAAGUAAGUCUCUUUUGGGAGCCAGCAUGAAGUGGGGGCACCACCACUAUCCAACUGCAGAUGGGGUUGGCUCCAGGCAACAGGUGGAUGCUGGACGGGGAAACCAGGAAAGGCUGGGCCCUACAAGGAGCCCACCAUGACCUGCAAAGGCCAAGGAGGCCAAGCACUCAGGAACUGCAGGAAGACAGGCUGUAGGGGACAUCAGGAGAACUAAGUGUCUUAGUCUGUUUUGUGUUUCUAUAACAGAACACCACAGACUGGGCCGUUUAUAAAGAAAAAUUUAUUUUGCGCAGUUCUGGAGGUUGGGAAGUCCAAAGUCGAGUGGCCGUAUCCGGUGAGAGCCCUCCUGCAGCAUCAUCCCAUGACGGAAGGUGUCCCAUGGUGAGAGAGCACGUAUACCAGCUCAGGUCUCCCUUCCUUUUCUCAUAAGGCCACAUCCCCCAUCGGGUCCCAUCCUGAUGUCCUCAUCUAAUCCUAGUUACCUCCCAAAGGCCCCACCUCCAAUCAACAUGUGACUAUGGGGAGUAAGUUUCCAGCCUAUGAAACUGGGGGACACAUUCAAACCACAGCACCAAGCAAGCUGGAGCAGCCAAGAGGAAGCCACAUGUUCCUGCAGGGCAGGGCAGCCUCCACCAUGCAGGGCUGGGACAGGCCAGGGCAGUGAGGGCUCAUGGGGGCCGCACCCACGCCAGCUCCUGCAGCACCAGCCUCUGGCCAGCUGUGUGCCUGGAGCAGAGGGGAGCAGGACCCACGUCCCAGUCCCCCACAUCCCAGAUCUCACCGAAGAGAUCAACUAGCCUAGGGCCAGGCCAGUAGGAGAGGACCUUGUCCAUUUUCUCCAUGAAAAGUCAACAUUUAUCUCUCCAAGUACAAGUCACUUCCUAAUCUUGAGAUGUGUGGAAACAAGCUCUUUAUGCUGAAAAUCAACUUCUACAUUUUAGUUCUGAGAUGUGAUUCUGCCAGCCAUGGUGGACGAGGAGGAUGGUAGGGACUUAGCUAGAGUAGCACGUCCUCACUAGACAGGGGUGGGUGGUGUGGGGAGGUGGGGGGCUUGGCCUUAGCCUGAGUGUGACGUUCAGCCUGCAUCUUGAGCACAGUGAGAGCCUGAGCCACUGCACCACUGAAGAUGCUUAGAAGAGAGACCACAGCAGGCGAGGAGGCUUCCCAGGGGUCUGCGCUGACAAACCAGGGAUGAGGGUGGCCAGCUGUGCAUGAGCCCCCCAGCGCCCAUGCAGGCGUCCCCACCUUCACCACCUAAGUGUGGUCACGCACCCAGGGAGAGCUUUCAACCUGGCUCUCUCAAGUGUGUUUCUAAACACUAGAGCCAGGAAUCCUGUCCUGUGGGUCCCUGAAACAUAACCGGUGAGCCCAAGAUCUCCUCGGAGAAACAAGGCUCCCCUUAGGGAGGGCCCAGGAACGUGGGGGCCUCUGUGAGGCAGAGGGUCCCAGAGGGUAUGACCGUUUCUGCAGAAUGGUGGCCACUCUGCAGAAACAAAAUCACAGCCCAGGAAGAGCUGCCAAAGUGGGGGCCAGGGGAGCCGGAGAGGGGGACUGAGCCAGAUGCCUGCAGAGCCGUGGCUCACAGCCUCUAGGAGGUACGCCCAUGAAUGUUUCAGAACACAUUUGAGGACUGACGUAUGUGACCAACUUUUUCUUUUGUUAAGCAAGGAUUUUUAAUCACCAUUACUGGAUUAAAGAAAAAACAUUUUGGCUGGGUGCAGUGGCUCACACCUUUAAUCCUAGCACUUUGGGAGGCUGAGGCAGGCGGAUCACUUGAGGUCAGGAGUUUGAGACCAGCCUAAGCAACAUGGCGAAAUGCCAUCUCUACUAAAAAUACAAAAAUUAGCCAGGCCUGAUGACACGCACCUGUACACCUGUAGUCCCAGCUACCUGGGAGGCUGAGGCAUGAGAAUUGCUUGAACCUGGGGAGGCGGAGGUUGCAGUGAGAUGAGAUGGUGCCACUGCACUCCAGCCUGGGUGACAGAGUGAGACUCCAUCUCAAAAUAAAUAAAUAAAUGACAUUUUAAUACCACAAUUAGGAUAAUUUCAGAAUAAAAAUUUUUUUUCUUUAAAACUUUGUAGAAAAUCCCACACACCCAAUUUGGCCUUGUCUGGGAAAUGUGAGGAUUCCUGUCUCCUGGGACAGACAGUCUCACUGCCAGGCAUCCUCCCCCUGCAGUGAUUCACAUCCUACAAUGUCUGCCCUGAUGUGUCAAUUGUAGAGUAGGUCCCUCAUGGAGGCCCAGAGGCCCCAGCCCAGAGCCCGUCUGUCAGUCAUUGGCUGAGAGUGGUUGGGACAGGUGACCCCGCAGUUGAGGCGACCCCCCACGAUCUCUGGAAAAGGCAGCUGAGCCCCAGUUGCAGCAGGUUGGGGGAGAUGGUGCUGCCACAGCACAAAGGACCUAGCCCCAGUGGCACCCACCACUGUCAGAACUCUCCACUGAGGGCCAGGGUGGAUCUUUCCUCCCACAUCCAAGCGCAUCUGACAUCUUCACCUUGAAUCCUGAGUUUCUCUCUUAACUCUGUCUCACUUUGUCAUGAACAAACUCUUUCUUGAAAGUUGUAUUUCUCUGGGGCCAGAAAGGCGAGGAAAGAGGCGCUUUCUCCUGGGAGGUGGGCCUCGUGUGUCCCUGUCGUGGCUGAGAGUGACUGCCCCAGCACCUAUGAAGAAAGCCCAGAGACUCUGGAGGCUCAGCUGGGAUAACGCCUGGCGUGCUCGGGGGUCAUGGCCACCGCCUGGACUCUGGAAAAAUGGGAAAAAUGCUCUUGGCAGACAGCGGGGCAGUCAGGAGGGAGCUGGCCCCACCAGCCCAGGCAACGCCCAAGAGCUGUCCUCCCACUCGGCUCCAGGAGACGUUUAAAUGGGGCCUGACUCCCCCAUCUCUGAUUUAAAAGAUAACCAGAAGCAGCAGAGAAAACAUCUGAAGUGCUUCCUGGACACACCUGUUAGGAAGUUUCUGCAAGAACCCAGGUAAGAGCUGGACUAAGCGGGGGUCCGUGGGUGGGAGGAGGGAGAACGCCUGCCUGGGCAUUUACAGAGAUGAGUUUGCAGAGAUAAUGAUGCCAGGGUUUCAGCCCCAGCCCCAGGAAGAGAACGGCAGCAGGAAAAGUUAGAGAGGAGAGGGAGCAGGAGGUGGAGAGCUCGGCCCCUCCUUCGCUGCUGCCCUCUGGGUGACGCUCAGCGGAGGCGCCACGUAGCAGCUGCGAGAGCCCCGAGACAACCUCUGCACUGUUUAUGGGAUCGCAUUAGGGGAGCAGCGGCCCUGCAUGACCCCACAGGUGAGCAGGACACCUCAUCAUAGGGUAGGCACGUGAGCAGACUCACCCUCACACAGCUGCCUUCAGGGCUGCCCAGGUCAGGUGCUCAGAACACAAAAGAAAGUGAGACAAAGUCGCCACCCUGGAGUUUACGAGCUGGCGUGGGAGACAGGCUGGCACUGAGGAUGACAGUGGAGAGAGAUCGGGCUGGGAAGAACCGGAGGCGCUGGGGAAGCCGGGUCAGCAGGGAGACCCCAGCAGAGUGGGAGCCGGAGGACGGCGGCGACUGCAGCCCGACUGUUUCAGGUGGCGUCCUCGUCACGAGAGGAGCUUGAGCGGGUCGUGGCCUUCCUGGCAACCUGCCUACAGAGAAAACGAUUGCUGGGUGCAGAUGUCUCGAACAUUUAUUGCAUUCCACGUUGUCAGUCAAUAAAACAGCUUUGCGAGCGUAAUACUGACAAAAUCAAGUUCAGGCGGUAAGCCCCAGGGCUUCCAAGAAAAGUGGAUCGGGGGGCUUGCUCAGCUCUGGUAUCCAGGGGGGGCCACUGCCUGGUUCCCAGGCAAAGGAGUACAAACUGCCGGGAGAAACAAGGACCCUGCAGGAAGAAGGGACCUGCCCGACUUGUUCCCCCGCACCCACAUCAGGAAUUUUCCCAGAAAGCCAUCCACUUUGUUAGAGACAAAAUAAAGGUCAUUUGGAGAAAAACCUGCCAGCAGCUGCUGCUGCUUGAAAAUAGAAAAGAUUUUAAAAGUAGCAGUGUUGGGAGGCCAAGGCAGGCAGAUCACCUGAGGUCAGGAGUUCGAGACCAGCCUGGCCAACAUGGCGAAACCCCGUCUCUACUAAAAAUAGAAAAAUUAGCUGGGCAUGGUGGUGAGCACCUGUAAUCCCAGCUACUCGGGAGGCUGAGGCAGGAGAAUCACUUAAACCUGGGAGGCGAAGAUUGCAAUGAGCUGAGAUUGUGCCACUGCACUCCAGCCUGGGCAACAGAGCAGGACAUCGUCUCAAAAAAAAAAAAAAAAUGCAGCAGUGGUUUGAAAUCAUGCAUUUUUAUGUGUUAUCCUCAAACAUCUGAGGGAGAUAAGAAAGAAUAUACCACGGAUGAGAAUAUUUAUAAUUAUCAGAAAAAAAACUGCCUCCUAGGAACAAUCCUGUGAGCUCCAUCAUCAAAUCUGAUUCAGAAGCCUCCAAAUCCCCUACUUGCCCUGGCAGCUGCUACCCACCUCACAGCUGUCCUUUGCAGAUUACUACAAAUGUUCUCUUAAAUAUUCAUUUAUCCCCCAGCAUUGACAGGUGAGGAAUGAUGUUGCUUGGGCUAUUUCUGCCCCAGGUGGCCCCUGUAAAGCCGGGACCUUGGAUCCCCUCUCUCAUAUGAGCCUCCUAAGCGGGCUCCCAGCUCCUGGAUGGGGUCUUCUCAGGGCCUAGGGCCCCCUCAUCUGCCCAGAACAAACUUCCUCAUCCAGAUGUCACCAUUCACUUCCCCAGGUCCUCCUUCCCACCAGACAUGAGGAUUUUAACUUGAUCAUCUCUGCAAAGACCUUAUCUUCAAAUACAGUUACAUUCUGAAGUCCUGGGGGUUAGGGCUGCAACACCCGAAUUGGUGGAGACAAAAUCCAGCUCCUGACAAUACCGCGUAUGAUAGCUGCGUCUCUGCCUGCAGUACUGUUUUCCAGGGAAAGCAUCUUUGAGUGUAUUCAGAAAGCCUCUCUCUGGGGCCAGGCCUUGCAGAGAAUCCUUCAGAAACUGGACAACCCCACCCAAGGCAGUCAGUGGGGAGGACACAUUUGGUGCCUCAUUGGUCCCUGGAUCUGCCUCACAGUCCUCAAUGUUCCUCCUCGUUCCCUCUACUCUUUCUCCUCUUUGGUUGACCUUGAAGCUCAUUCCUGGUGAAGGCCCCGUGGGAGCAGUGCAAUGACAAGAGGAGCCUGUUUUCAAUAGCACCCUCACGCUCUCCAGGGGUCCAUUGGAGGCGCCUAUGACCUCCUGAUGCUGAGGAGCCUAGAGUGGGCAGCCCUCGGGCCCAGGCUCCACCUGGGUGAGGCCUGUUUUAUUAUCAAUACUCACCACAGUCAUUUGUGGGAGUGUAAUGCUCAUAUUCCCAUUUAAGAGAUGAAUAAACUGAGGCAAGGUGAAGUGACUCAGCUGAGGCCACACCACAGUUUAAUGGGGAAGCCAGGAUAAGAGCUGGCGGCUUCUAUGUCUGAUCUACACUCUGAUGGGAGGUCGUCAGAGAGCCAUGUAAACGGUGAGGAGGUGACAUGCUGGUCCCUUCCAUAAAAGCUGUUUUGCAAAAUUAAAACACACACACAGUAAAGAUCCAGAUUUAUGCAAGUGAGAGUGAGGGGCUGACUAUUUACCAGUCAACAGAUCUCCCCAAAUGGUUCUCUGCUUGGGGUUGAGAUGCUCCUGACCAGCAGGGCUUGGGGAGAGACAUUCUUGCUCCCCCUAGAGCUGGCUGACCCAUACCCAGGGGAUUCUGAGCACCAGGGGCUGGGAGCAGCAUGUACCACGUGUUUCCCAAGAGUUAGUCAUGUUUGCUCCUAAAACUUAUUGUAAUCGAGGAAUCUAAUUAAACAAUACACCAACUGAAGAAACAGUGCAAAAAGAAUGAGUGACUGUUUCUAUGAAAACUUAGAUGAACUACUUUGGAAAGAUUCAAUAAAAAGCAUGCCUAAAUACAUAUACUGGGGCCAGGAGCAGUGAUUCACACUUGUAACCCCAGUGCUUUGGGAGGCUGAGGUGGGAGGGUGGCUUGAGGCUAGGAGUUUGAAACCAGCCUAGGCAACAUAGCAAGACCCUGUCUCUACAAAAAAACAAAAAUUUUUCAACUGGUUGUGGCAGCACCUGCCUAUGGUCCCAGCUGCUCUGGAAGCUGAGGUGAGAGGAUCACUCGAGCCCAGGAGUUCAGGCUGCAGUGAGCCGCAAGUGUGCCACUGCACUCCACCCUGGGCAACAGAGCAAGACCCUGUCUCUAAAAAAAUAAAUAAAAUAUGUACAUCCAGAUACAGUAUUAUGUGUGGGCGAGACACCGGUAAAAGAUGGAAACAAUCAUAAAAGUCAGGCAGGAUUCCACCUAAGAUUGUCUUUAGCUCUCAAUCUACCUUGUUUUAAAAUUUUUUUAUGAGCCAUAAAAGACCUAAGACUAGUCUUUAUUGUACAACUUGAUGAAUUCUGAUCCUGUGGCCAUACAGUUCAAAAUAGAGCAUUCUAGCACUCAGAAAGCUCCCUAGUGCCCUCAUCAGUUGGUGCCUGUCAACCCCAAGGAUGUCAUAGUCAUUUGGACACCCCUGGCACAGUCAUUCCACUUAGAGACUCUGCCAGAAGUCCCAGAUCAUAAUCAGGAGUGAAAUUUACACAAGAAGGGGCCGGAAGCCCUAGUGAGUAGUGAACUCAACUCCAAAAUAACCCUACACUAAAAAUAAAACUGGAACGUACUUUUUAUGUUUGAAAUUUAAAUAAGAUAGAUGUAUUUUUGUUAAAUCGUUCCAACCUGUACAACUUUUCUAUUCAUCAGCCAACUAGCCAGAGAAAGGGGGUUUCUGCUGCUGUCAGAGUAUAAAAAUGAGCUGCAAUUUUCAAAAUUUGACCUCAUCUAACUUUCUCCAGCUAUGCCAUUCCUGGAGCAUCCUCAGUCCAGUGCCUGAUGCGUAAAACAUAAUAAAAAGGUGACCCCACCACACCAAACACUGGGGUGUCUGUAGCAGUGACCGCGUCUCACGGGGAUUUUGUCUGAAUGCCUGUUCCUCCACUCGCCUAAUCCAUGGAGGUCAGGGAACCACGCACCUCAACACACACAGUAGCUUCUUAAUAAAUGUUGGUCCAUGGAAGUCAAGUCAGCCCUUAAAGGGAAGGGUAGGAAACAGGUGUGCAGGGAGGGAGGAGUAAAGCUGCCCUGGGCCUGCCAGGCCUGGGGCCACCCCGCAGGCAACUCUGGAGCCAGACAGCCUCGGGGCACCCCAGGCUGAGGGAAGGAGCUGGGCACAGCCCUGUGUCCCCGUCUCUCAGCCAAUGGAGGAGGAGCUUGGUCAGUCCCUACAAAGGUUGCAGUGGAGACCCUGCACCAGGGUACCCACCUACCCAUGAAGGCACAGGAGGAACAUUCUGGAAAUGAGGAGGCCCUUGUGAAGCCACAGAGGUGUGGAACAGCAUGGCACAGCACCCCUGCAAUUCCCAUACCCUGUGAGGACCCCACAGUCCUCAUCUGUCCCUGGAUGUAGUGCAGUGGUUGUCCUCGGAGUCGCUGGGGUCUCUGCCUGCUGGCUCUGCCCUAGUCCCGAACUGGACGCCCUGGCU
rnacentral:lncRNA from 1 species